UUUUGUGCUGUGCCUAACACAUGCAGUCGAACGGGAUCCCCUGGAUUCGUCUGGGGGUGAGAGUGGCGAACGGGUGAGUAACACGUAGGUGACCUGCCCCAAAGUGGGGAAUAACCAUUGGAAACGGUGGCUAAUACCCCAUGUGCUCGGCGAUUCGGUUCGCCGAGUAAAGCUACGGCGCUUUGGGAGGGACCUGCGGCCCAUCAGGUAGUUGGUAGGGUAACGGCCUACCAAGCCAAUGACGGGUAGGGGGCGUGAGAGCGUGAUCCCCCACACUGGCACUGAGACACGGGCCAGACUCCUACGGGAGGCAGCAGUGAGGAAUAUUGCCCAAUGGACGCAAGUCUGAGGCAGCAACGCCGCGUGGGCGAUGAAGGCCUUCGGGUUGUAAAGCCCUUUUCUGAGGGACGAGGAAGGACGGUACCUCAGGAAUAAGUCACGGCUAACUACGUGCCAGCAGCCGCGGUAAUACGUAGGUGGCGAGCGUUAUCCGGAUUCACUGGGCGUAAAGCGCGUGUAGGUGGUUCCGUAAGUCGGACGUGAAAGCUCCUGGCUUAACUGGGAGAGGCCGUUCGAUACUGCGGGGCUUGAGGUCGGGAGAGGGACGUGGAAUUCCCGGUGUAGUGGUGGAAUGCGUAGAUAUCGGGAGGAACACCAGUGGCGAAGGCGACGUCCUGGCCCGCACCUGACGCUAAGACGCGAAAGCGUGGGGAGCGAACGGGAUUAGAUACCCCGGUAGUCCACGCUGUAAACGGUGGAUACUAGGUGUUGGUGACUAUCGUCAUCAGUGCCGUAGCUAACGCGUUAAGUAUCCCGCCUGGGACUGCGGCCGCAAGGCUA
rnacentral:rRNA from 1 species